AAAUCUUAAUAAAAAAUUAAAAUAAAAAAUCUUAAUUAAAUCUUAAUCAAAACUUAAUCAAACCUUGGUCAAAUCUUAAUCAACUCUUAAAAAAUUCUAAUCAAAUCCUAAAUAAAUCCUAUUCAAAUCCUAGACAAACUUGAGUUAACCCUAAUCAAAUCCUAAUCAAAUCCUAAUCAAAUCUUAAACAAAUCUUAACCAAACUCUAAUCAAAUCCUAAACAAACCUAAUCAAAUCCUAACCUAAAUCAAACUCUAAUCCAAAUUAAACCUUAAAUCAAAUCUAAAACCCUAAUUCUAACCUUAAACCAAAUCUUAAUAAUUAAGUUGACAAUAAAUACAAAUUUUUUUGAAGAAGAUUGAACUCACUAAAAAGAAGAUCAAUCCUAAAAUCUGCUGAAGUAUCAAC
rnacentral:lncRNA from 1 species